rnacentral:rRNA from 1 species
GGACUACUCGGGUUUCUAAUCCUGUUUGCUCCCCUAGCUUUCGUUCUUCAGCGUCAGUAGUGGUCCAGCUCGCCGCUUUCGCCACGGGUGUUCCUGCAGAUAUCUACGCAUUUCACCGCUACACCUGCAAUUCCACGAGCCUCUCCCACACUCAAGCACAGCAGUUUUGGAAGCCGUCUCUGGGUUAAGCCCAGAGAUUUCACUCCCAACUUGCCGCACCGCCUACGAACCCUUUACACCCAGUAAUUCCGAACAACGCUGGCCCCCUACGUAUUACCGCGGCGGCUGGCAC